rnacentral:rRNA from 1 species
CUGCUUAAUUGCGAUAACGAACGAGACCUUAUCCUGCUAAAUAGCCAGGCCAGCUUUGGCUGGUCGCCGGCUUCUUAGAGGGACUUUCGGCUCAAGCCGAAGGAAGUUUGAGGCAAUAACAGGUCUGUGAUGCCCUUAGAUGUUCUGGGCCGCACGCGCGCUACACUGACAAAGCCAACGAGUUAUUCACCUUGACCGAAAGGUUUGGGUAAUCUUAGAAACUUUGUCGUGCUGGGGAUAGGGCAUUGCAAUC